rnacentral:tRNA from 2 species
UAGCUCAGCUGGGAGAGCAUCUGCCUUACAAGCAGAGGGUCAGCGGUUCGAUCCC